rnacentral:rRNA from 1 species
UACGAAGGGGGCUAGCGUUGUUCGGAAUUACUGGGCGUAAAGCGCGCGCAGGCGGCUAUCCAAGUCAGUGGUGAAAGCCCGGAGCUCAACUCCGGAACUGCCAUUGAAACUGUUUAGCUUGAGGAUGAGAGAGGUGAGUGGAAUUCCCAGUGUAGAGGUGAAAUUCGCAGAUAUCAGGAGGAACACCAAUGGCGAAGGCAGCUCGCUGGGACGGUACUGACGCUGAGACGCGAAAGCGUGGGGAGCAAACAGG